UACGAAGGGUGCAAGCGUUACUCGGAAUUACCGGGCGUAAAGCGUGCGUAGGCGGUUUGUUAAGUCUGAUGUGAAAGCCCUGGGCUCAACCUGGGAAUGGCAUUGGAUACUGGCAACCUAGAAUGUGGUAGAGGGUGGCGGAAUUCCCGGUGUAGCAGUGAAAUGCGUAGAUAUCGGGAGGAACAUCCGUGGCGAAGGCGGCCACCUGGACCAACAUUGACGCUGAGGCACGAAAGCGUGGGGAGCAAACAGG
rnacentral:rRNA from 1 species